rnacentral:tRNA from 1 species
GUAGCUCAGCUUGGCAGAGCGCCAGCUUUGGGAGCUGGAUGUCGCAGGUUCGAAUCCUGUC